AGGAUUCACCGCCACCCUCCGCCGGGACAAGAGCCGCCUCCGUCCCACAAUGCACCGCGCCCGGCCACUCCGCGGGAGAGUGCCCAUGCGCCGCGGCGGCGGGGCCCGGAUGAGCGGCCCCGCCCAGCUUGGGGCGCGCCUGCGCAGAGGGGAGAGGCCGGCGGCGGCGCCGCGCAUGCGUAGUGGCGCCGGGGCCGCGCGGGGCAGGCCUGUCUUCCGCCGGGUCGCGGCAGGGUGGAGGAGAACCUGUAUGUGCGGGGUACAUUGAGAAGAUGUCGUCGCUCCACAGCCCGGAUGGGUAAUGAGAGAAACCAGGAGCGUUUUCAGCAAUAAUCAAACAGGGAGCGUGCCUAGUCAGGGCUGUCACAGGUAAAAAUGAAGCAAGGCUUAGAAAAAAGAAACAGGAAACUGGAUAGUGGGAAGAAGGAGACUCAUUCGCCAGAUGUGGCCUGCUAGCAGUUUGGGGAAGUGGAUACUGUAGCUGUGAAAUGUAUAAAUGCUGAUGGCAAGAGUUAAUUGUUUCAGGUGUAAUAGUGCUAUGGUGUAAGAAUUCAGCUGCGGUACAUGUUUUAUAUACCUUUAAAAUUAUAUUAAAGGCAUCCCGACAUAGAGGUUGGUUGGGCUUUAGGAAGCAUAAUCCAGAUAUAUGAAAUAGCCAACGUAUGUGUCUUUUCAAAAAAGUGCAUAAAGAAAAAAUGAAAUUUCUGUUGGCUGGCUUCAAAACUUGUAAGCUUUUUUUUGUUUGAGUGGGACAAAAGCCAUCUUUUCUGUGAGGAAGCCUCGGCAUCAAGUGCCCUUCAAACUAGGAGGCUCAGAGCAUAUUUCAUUGGACUAAUUUUAAUAACAUCAAUUUAUUUGGUGUUAAUUCUUUGCCAGAAUUCUAACUCGGGCAUGUAGCUGAGUUCAUUCCUUUUAAGUAGUUUAGAGUAGUCACUUAAGCCAAUGCUAAAGAUAACUUUAUCUGCACCUGAUUGCUUUCACUUUACUGGGCAAUUGCCAAUGUUCGUGUACAGUGAACUGUAUAAGGGAGUUAAUCAGUUAAGUAACCUUUUUUUAAAUAUACUCAUUCACCUUGAGAUUAGAUUUCAGGUGACUGCCAUCUGAUUUGCUGUGCAGAUUGCGUAAGCGUUCAUGCUGAUACAAGGGAAGGCAAGAAGAGCACGGUCAUUUUCAGUUGCAGUAAUAGUUUAGGAGCAUGACUGCAUAAUGUUAGUGUGAAUUUUAAAACACUCAAAACCUGUUUCCUUAGGAAAAAUAUACUUAGUCACCCUGAAAUAAUAAGAAAAUUUUGAGCAUCUUCUGCCCAAGAUUGAAGGGCCUUUUCUCCCCCAAAUGGAUUCACCAAACAAAAGCGCAUGCUUGCUGAAACUCCUUCUUAGGGUUCUGAACAAGCAAAACCAGAACGUUAUAAUGGCAGUAUUAAAAAGAAAUUAACCAUGGCACAUAUUUCUGAACCGUUGCUUCUGACCAAAGCUUCUGUUGAUAUUGCAUCAUUUGAAUCACUAUACAAGCAUGUUACAGCUGUUAUCUUCUAAAUGUGUAUAUAUUUGCAUAUGAGCUUUCCUAAUAAAAUGAAUGCAAUGACUUGUACAUAAAGUUAACUUACUGAAGUCUGCUGGAUGAUGUUUUUUAUGGGCAGACUAAUUAAUGAUUCCUAUAUAAUGGAAAGAAAACUUAAUUAUUUUCAAAAACCAACAAUAUUACUCAAAAGCCAUUAUUUUUAAAGGAAAUUAGUAAACAUUACUACUUAGUUGGAAAUGCUAAAAAUUAGCUUCUGUUGUAGAAUACAGAAAUCACCGAAACCCUUUUUUUUUCCUGCAGAGUAGCCUUUGAAGUGUGCAUAUGUCAUAUGUACGCUGGUGAUUUUGUGUGUUAAGUAAUCCUCCAGGUUAUGCAAGUAUUGUUCACAGUAUAUUUCCAAGUGUGUCUGUCGAUUGACAUUGAAUGGGGAUUGUAUACUGUUAGUAGUAGUGUUGUACAUACAAUCUGUAUUCUCUGGAUAAAUUAGUAAAGGAAUUUUGUGUGUUCGUGUGGAUUUUUUAAUUGCUUUUUUUCCCCACUGUGUCUUUUAAGGUCAGAUGUAUCUUAAAUCCAGGAUUCUCUAUCACUUAAUAGUGGUUGUAAAAUAACCACUUUAACAUACUUCUGGAAAAGAACUGCAUGUCUGUUUCCCAGGGUGAAAGUCAGUAUGCCUUUAUUUUCUGAUUGUACUGUUUGAGCACGACUGUGUACUCCUGCAGGUUUCCUGCCAUUAAAAGUUUGUUUGCAAGA